GUGCGCGCAGCGCAGCGCGGCUCAGUUCGGAACGGGGCAACCCUCCCGGAGAAGCGGCGGUGCCCGCGCGAGUCGUCCCGGCCGGCGAGUGCCGGCGGAAGGAGGCGGCUCCGGGCCCGGCGGAUGGCAGCGGGCACGGGCUGGCAGCUCCGCGAGCGGGGCGGGCGGCGGGUGCGCGAACCGCUAACGCCGUUGCAAAUGCGAGCGGCCGGGAUGUUCGUCGUACAGUUAUCAGCAGAGCACCCGCCGCAGCCGGGACGAGUUUCUUUUUCUCCCUGCUCUGUGUGGCGGAGAACGGGAGCUCCGCGCCGCUCCGGCGCUGCUGUCUGCGCUCGGCGGCGCCCCGUCCCGCUCCGCCGUCCCGCUGCUGCCGGGCGCGGCGACACGCGGCGAUCGCGGGGGCUCCCGCCUCAGGAGCACCGCCGACCUGCGCCGAGGCGUUGGUCCGGGCACGUUACCGUUUCGGGAGCUCUGUUGGAGGCGGCACGCGCGCUGCUGGCAAAGUUUGGAGCACGCGGCGCUGUUAAUGGGGAAGGCUGCAGAAGAAGGUGCCGCUCUAGAAGUAGGAGCGCCUAAGAGAUAAAACGCGUUUUCAGCUCGUUGCGAGUUACCUGCCCGCGGGAAACAACCCGCGCGGUUUGAGAAAGGUUCAAAACGCCGGAACUGAUUAAAGACUCGUGACAAAACCCGGAGAGACCAAACAGAAGAGCUCAGGGAGGGCAGGUUUUGCUGAACCGCUCUCCUCAAUACGGCUCUUACAACCGCCUGUUGCCUCCAAAUCCCGACCCGAAACGCAAAGAGUCGCAUCUGCCUCUGCGGUGCGUUAUUCUUUCGGUACGUGUAACUUUAUCCAGGCAGCUCAACAGCCUCAGUUUCAGGGAUCUGCUCGUGGGAAAUGCUUAUAUUUCUUUAAAUCCAGCUAGUAUUCACCUGCUUGACGCAGUUAAGUUCUCUAACUGCCGCGGGACGGCUGGAGACCCAAGAAAUACUGGAGUUCUCCAGGCAGAAGCGCAGCUGAUGGGAAUAAAACUUCAGCGAGCUGUACCCGGUUGGCUCCGCCUGUCCGCGGAGCAAUUAACAGCUCCUGCUUUGUUAGCACUAGAAAAAUCUCCAGUGCUAACACUGAAAGAGAUAGACUGAAGGAAAAGAAAGCGAGGACCAUUCACCUGAAGGAGGGAAAGCUGCUCCUUCACACGGAUUGGUCCCAAUUUGUUUUACUGUCAACAUCGAAUUGCUGAAACUUUACAUUGUCAGCUUAUGAUUGUAGGAAUCAGGUUUGGCUACGCUAAUGUAAAUAAACUCCCCUAUAUUUGGUCACCCAAACCGCAGUUGUUCAAAUAUCGCUGCCUGACACGGGAUAGCUGCCUAUUUAUAUGGGUAAUGUGGACUUUUUCAUAUAUAAAUAUGUACGCGUACAUUCAACAGACCGGGCAGAGUACGGGGUGAUUUCUAAGGAAUCCAAUCUCCCGGACAGCUUUCAGGCUAACGGCUAUUUGCUACAUGCUCAUUCCACUGCCGUUCAUCACCCGCUGCCAAUCGCACCUGAUGGCUCACCUGCUUCUCGGCAAGGCAAGGGAAAGCAGUUACGGAAGAAACAUCAGAUGACCAUGAAAACUAUUUUUUUGAGAGACGUGCGUAUACCUUCGCAAAAUAUGUCGAUUUUCAGACAGCCGACUGUUUGGGAGCAAAAUAGCAGCGAGCCACGUGUGCCCGUUUCCCAGCGCGUCUGUAAGUCGGAGCUCCGUCGCUCCGGGCGUAACAGCGCGCAGCGCCGCGGAGCGCCGCCGCCCCCGGCGCAGCUGCGGUGCUGACCAUGCGGGCGGGUCACGGGCCGGGCGAGUCGCAGCGACUCCAACAGGAAGGUUUGCUCUGGAGCGGCAGGGUUUGCUCCAUCGUCCCAUAAAAGGAUUUUUUUUAAACUCUGAAACACAAAUAGAUGCGAAUUAGUGCGCUUUUAUGCGUCCGCUUGCAUUAGAUGCGAGGGCUCUGUUACCAGCGCGUCGCGUGAGGGGAAAGAGUGGGAAGAAGUCUUUAUAUUUGAGUUCUUCAAGGAAAUCUCACGGGGGUUCCGAAGUCAGAGCUCCCACUGAAGCCAUCAGGAGUUGCAGAUCGCAUUGUACUUACAAGAAAAGGCCCGUCCCAAAAGCAGCAAUUAAGCCCGUUUGGCAAUAAUUUGGCAAUGUCGAUUAAAAUACCCUCAGGAAAACAUUAUUAAAAAGUUGAAAUAUAACAGUAGCUGCUUGGUAUUAAACACGGCUUAAAAACAAACACCUAUCCCUCCCAGUUCUGUCUGCUGCACUUCAAGAAUGGCAGUGACUCAUCUUUUACCCGGUCCCACUCUUUUGCCUGGUAGACCCUCUUAUCCCACUCUUCAUCCUUACAUCCUGAGAGUUCCCUCUAUGACGCGCCAUCAACUCCAUGGAAAAAGAAAUAAGGGACUUCAUGGGGAAGGGGAGUUCAGAAGAAUGUGGGAUGACAGCGCUGCAGAUGACUGAGCCAACCACCUGAACAUGGGAAGGGCAGGUGCAGCUGCAAUGAAAUACACGGAGGGGAACCUGUUGGAAAAGGGGGAAGGUUGGAAACUGGGGAGGAAGCUAAACCACGGACUCCAGAGCUGAGUAAAGAAAGACCCACAUUAAGUCCCUAACUGAAAAGUCCUGUGCAAUUUAAUAAAAAUAACUGCAUUUUUAGCUAAAUGAUCUUAUAGAAUGCAGCAAUUACUACCCAGCUACUGUGACUGCUAUCACAACUGGGAAGCCUGCAGAAAAGACAUUGUUCCCUAGUCUUGCUCUCUAAGUCUUUAGAGUAAUUUCCAUAAAACCCUAUUUCAAAGGCGACUGUUUGUGCAAAUAAUUACUCUCAAAUAUCAUAUGCAAGGAGUAAGCAUGUUUAAAGGGUACGUGCCAGCUGUUUUCUUUGAUUCCUGCAGGCACUUCUACAAGCCAUCAGUUUCCCUAUAAACUGAGAGUAGGGUUGCAGUGCUGGGAGUGCCAGCAGCCAUCUUGGAAGCGCUCUGGAAUUACUCUGGCUCAGGAGCAGAAGAAAUACUGUGAGAUCCAACAUGAACUGCAGUUAAUUCAGCAAAUCAGAACCAUGCCAUUCAUAAGAAGUCCGGGUCUGUUCAGAGAUAAGUGCCAUGCAGACAGUUCCUCUACAAGCGAUAGGAUAUGUGAUGGAUGAGGGGUUAGCACCUCACCUCAGCUAAUAAAGCUGGGAAGGCCAUGUCUUUUUCCUGGCUUUUUUUAUUAUUAUUAUUUUAUUUUUUUCCCCUUUUAGGAAGGCACAAAACCAUGCAGAGUUUUCAGGGUUUGUUUAUUUGUUUUGUUUUUCGGGGGAAAAAAAAAAUGCAAUUCUUUAUGGAAAAAAAGACCUCAUAUGCAAGCAUGGGACUUUUUAACCUGGAAACUUUCAGUAACUACCAUGUUCCCCUCUGGGAAGAACAGGACUUCUACUCUUUCCCAUCUGUUAAAAAGUCCUGAAAUCUAGAGCAUUUGCCUUUGAAAUGAAUGAAAUCUCCCCUGUGUUGCUCUCAGACCGGCGCUGCAAUAACAUGCAUUCAUCCCACGCUACAAGCAGGUUGGUUACAUUGAGAAAACCUUAGUAUUUAAGUAACUGCUCUCUAUUCUAUCCUCACUUUAUGCAUCAACAAAUUCAGCCCAACUUACCUCCCCGCUGCAGCACACAUACAUAUGCUAUGAAUAUAUCCCCGCUGUCUUUAUACCCCACACUAGAACAUGCUUGCUGUCUUCUUCUUACCUGUUGUUGCACCUGCAGGUGCUCUCUCACUCCUCCUUUCCCUCUCACCCCCUACUCCAAAACAGCCAUGGAAUAAAAACAGCACAAAUGAUUUAUUUAUUAAUUUUCUUUAAAACAGAACUAAAGCUGAAUUCAGUAGGUAUAUUUAACAGGAGUCCUGUCCAGGCUAGGGAGCGUGUUAAUCCUGCUAGCCAGACAGAAGAUAUAGAAGAUUAGAAGAUAUUUGUUGUAGGAAUUAAACACCAAGUAGUAUAAUGCAAAAUAUUGCAACCACAUUUAGAUAGAACAGACAGGAGUAUCUGGCAGAUUUUUGCAAAUAGCUUGUUUGAACUGAUCAUUUACAUUUCUUUUUUUCCCUCUUUUUACUUCACCUUAAAGAUAAUAACAGAAGAGAAACCACAGUGUAUCACACUCUGCACUGCUUUAUCCCUAGAUCAGCUUCCUGUUGCUGGAUCCAGCCUGCAGAGAUGUAAUCAGGGCACCUGCCUGGCUGUUUUUAAGACAACAUAGUGAUGUGGUUCCCACCUAAUCACAGAACUCAGAAUCCCUGAAUUGAGGCAACUUUUGGAAAGCCCUCAGGUUUGUAGUCUCAAAGAGCAGAAAAAAAUAAAUCAGAACAUAGUCCCAGCACCCGAGUUACAUCAGACCACUUCUGCAUCUGAUCUGGCUCACGCACACACAGAUAUAUUUAUCUAUCAUUACGUAUUUUAAGUACAGAUUGACAUCCAGACUAAACAAGACAUUAAUGUAGGAGCAACUCUGUGUUUAUUUCUGGAAAAAGGGUUCCUUUGUGGGACCACAAAGCUCCCAUUUAACCUAAAGCUCUAUGUGGGGCUUUUCAUCCAUGGUUACUCUGACUUAAGUUGUGGCUUAACUGGAUGUGGCUUCACUAAAUAGAAUCUAAAGGAUUUUGUCAGAAAAGCAGAAUUUGUGCUGCUAGUAGCUCUUGUUGCCUGCCAGUCUUUGUCCUGUCCAUGGCUUUGCACAGCAAACUCAAACUUGGAGGCAUUUGUCUCACCUACAAAACCACUGGAGUUGAAUUUCUAGCUGUUUCAGCCCUGUGGAGCUCCAAAAUAGUGGGCUACCAUGAACACAACUAUAACAGAUCCACAAGACUAGGAUGUAAAUGAAGGCAAAGGGAGCAACAGGAGCCUUUAAGGGAGAAAGGAAACAAGUAGGAGACAACCAGGCAGGACUUCUGUGGGAGAAGCACUGAAGCACCUCAUGGGAGGCAAACUCAGUGUCUCCCUGCCUUGAGAGUGGGCCGUGACUGCAGACACCAGAGCCUGGAGCACACCCUCUGCUCCAGGCUUGCAGUGUCCUGAGCCAGUGGCCUGACAGCGAUCCCCACGUCAUCAGCCACUCUGUUUCCAAUACAUCAGCAAAUGUCAUUUAGUCUUGUUCUUUCUCCUCCUCAUUUCCAGCCAGAAUAAAUGUAUGGUCAUUUCUCCUGGACCAGCUUUUUCUUCUAGCUUUCAAUAUCUCUUGUCUCCUUGACAUCUAUUAUUUAAAGGGAGCAAUGACAUCUUCCUCAGACUUCAUUUUCUUUGAUUAAUCAAGGCAAAUCUUUACGCUUAUCCAUAUAGCAGUAACUCCAGUUUCCUGGCCAUCUUACUAACCCUGCUCCACACCUUUUCCCCCUAGUAUUUAUCUUUCCUCACUGCAGCUGACUACAACAAGACAUGCUGUGGAUGGUCUCUCUCACUAAGCUAAGGUGGCUUAUGUGCUUCCCCAGUUCUUCUGGAAAAAAAGAUUGCCUGAUACACCAUGGAGUUUCUAAGCUGUGGCUCGCAGGGAUCUGACUGAGAUGAGACUCUUUCGUUCUACUGCAAAACCCACUGCAAGUUAUCUGCGUUGUGCUGCAGGCAAGUACUUGCUACAGUUACAUGGGGAAAGCAUGAGAUAUGCUGCACACUGAACAGUGGCGGCCGGGGGAAGUUCAGGAUCCCCCUUAUAGGUAACUGUAUUAGAAUUGCAUGAAAUGAGCAGUAAUAAAGGAUUUUAAGCCCACCACUCCAAUUAGAUGAAUGUAGCAGAUGGAAAAUCACUUACAAAGCUAGCAAGACUGUCAUAUUUUGCUGUUUCUUCAACAUGUGCCUUCCAAGCAUGUUUGAAAACAAAACAGAACAAAACAAAAUCUUCAGAAAGACAGGGAAAGCAGAAUUACAACUGGGCUUUUCACACAGGAGACCAAAACAAACUACCCACAUUCAGAGACUCAUUUUUUACCACCUCAGGUAAAUUUUUUAAGUCCUGCAUUAACUGUUGUAUGAAAGAGAUUUCUUCAGAGUUCUUUGCAGUAAGUAUCUUUCCACAAGAAAACCGAGUGGAACAAAAUGAAGAGAUGCUACGUGAAAGACAAUUCAUACUUAAUACACUGGAAAAAAAAUGGUUAAGGUUCUUUGUUCCCUAGUGUCCCUGUCUGAGUAGGUAAUUCACCACCAGUCAUGAUGGGAAUAAUUAUGACCUUGCAAAUAUCUUCAAAAACAUUAUGUUCUGCCAUUUGGGAAAUAUUUUGUUUAGUUGGAAAAAGCUUUUUUGAAUUUUCUUACUUGUGGCAUCAUUUUUGUAUUGUACUUCCCAUAAGAGCCCAGUGGAAUGGGCUUUUAACUCUACUGGUACACAAUUACGAUUACACUUUUGUUAGAGGUCUGCAUAUUCCAAGCACAAACACUGACCAUCCUCAGCUGACAGGUCAUUUCAGCCCACAUUUAAUCUUUGGAACAUUUUGUUCUUACGUGUUUAAGGACUCUGUGGACACUUGGUACAUUCAAAUGGCUAGGCACACAGACCUAACUAAAUAAUUAACACUAAAUACUGAGGCGUAACUAAGCACUUGUGCAUGGUGAUUGUACCUGGUUGUUUUCAGAGUAUGCAGUAUAGUUAAUAGCAAAAAACAGUUUGCUUCUUUUCCAGAAAUGUUAAAAAUGUAUAACUGGUUAAAAAUGUUUAGAAUAUGCAAUGUUUAACCAUGCUGUUGGAAUCACUGGUAUUUUAAAAAUGAAAUGUUUAUACACAGCUAAUGAGGUUAAGCUGGAAACCAAAAAAGAAAUUCACUUAAGUUUCAGAAUGUGGGCUGGCACUGCAGUGAAUGAGGCUACGAAAAAUCCUCUCCCACGAACAGUCCAUUUCUCAGGUUCACUCAGAUUCCUCACAGAUUGUCCCAAAGUUUCUACGACCAGACCCAUCCAAAGCAGCAGGACCACUAGGCAGCAUUAUCUGGAAUGGACUCUGUUAUGUCUCUAGCAAAUCUAGAUUCCGAGAAGCAAAAAAUCAUUGUGGAGAAGAGGGAUGCAUGGUUUAGCCAAAGCAAUGGAGCAUUUGAUAUGAAAAAGAAAAUCUGAUGAAUAAAAGUUGAAUAAGGACUUCCGAUAAUAGCCUGAUGAAUGCGCUGCAUACCAAAACAGUACCUGGCUGAACAGUUGGUUUAACUUGUUCUCUGGGAUAUAACAGCAACUAAGAGUAGGAAGUGAUCUAAAUAUAUUAGUGUUCAUAUGUUAGCAAUAGUAUUUUUGCAAAACAUCGAAAUGUUGUCAGAAAGUAGAGAGCAAAGCAUGCAGCAUAACUGUAGUGGUUGCCAAAUGUCUCUAUCCCGUAUUGUUAGAAACUUUGAAAUGUGCCUGUUCCCAAAUAAAUGCCUUUUGGACACCAA